ensembl:lncRNA
AACAACCCCACACAUAAUACAACAGUGUUUAAUUAGUAAAACAGCUUGUCAGAACACACAUUUGGGAAGUAAUUGUACAUUACAGGCUUAACAGUAAACUUCUUCAGUGUACAUCAUUAGUAUGGGAAUGGGUGCCAAAUAAGGGCACAAGCAGUCAUUUUCCCCCCCAACAUGGGUCAUCGAAGGUUGCAUUAAUUUCAUGGCACAGUUCCACACAUUACAUCAGCUCUUCAUCCAUGAGACGUUCACUCUGCCAGACAAGAUUGAUUCCCUGUGCAGAGGGUUAGGUACAAACAAUAUCAGAGCGAACUCCAUCACCUCAUUGGUAAACAGCAAACGUUUUCUUGUCUCGAGCUGUUGUACAGACCAUAUUUAACCAAACAUCAUAUGAGAGCCCAUAGUGUUUAUCACAAGGUUUCUCUCGCCGUGUACACAUAAUGUAAGGCUGCAGGCAGUGUAGCACCAGAGUUUAUAAGGAAAUGAAAGACGAGGAAAGCAAAGUUGCAUUGGCAAAGUACUGAUUAGAUUUACGCCUGAGGGGGCCGCCGUUAGAUAUUGUUAUAUUGACAUAGGGUGGAGCUAAUAAACAAUGGGUCAAUUUUUAAGUAAAGAAAUUCUUAAGACGGGUUUGUGGUAAUGUAGAAAGUUUUUUACGAUCAGAAAAGGAAUCACUGAAAGGGCUUGUUUUCAUCCCCUCCAACUUUAAACCAUCACACUCAGUCUAUGUUUGUAUCUGCUGCAAACAGAAGCAGGAAGAGAAACAGCACUGGUCGAGUUCUGGUAAUACUGGAAAUGCUCCAGAAACAAUUAGAAGUUCAACAAGAGCAAUUUGAUAAUCAUUCACCUCGUAUAAUGUCUUAAUAAAAAUAACAUUUAGAAAAAAAAAAAAAAAAAAAAAAAAAAAAAAAAGCAGCACAAAAAGUUAAUAUAAGUAAGAAUCUUUGGAUUGUUGAGUGUUAGCCACAAAAAAUAAAAAUGAAAUAAAAAUAAAAAAAAAAACUUACAUAUUCACAUUUAUCAUUCUCUGUUGGUGUAAAAAACAAAAGAUUUAGUUUCAAGUAAUACAAGAAUAAAUACAGGAAAUAAUAGUCAGCACUAGUUACCUCCACCACAGACAUAACGCUUUUGUUGUAGUUUCUUAUAUUAGCAGGAUUACACAAAAAGAAAAAAUAUAAAGGCAGAUUUUUCUGACACUUGGAGAGGUAGAAAACGAGCAAAGGAAGAAUUUAUUACAUUUUGUUGGAGAUCAGGAUUAAGCGGUGGAGCUUCCCCUUUAAAACAGCCAAUAGAAAAUUAGCUUAGUCACCCGUCACUUGUUAAACUAAGCUGAGCUGUCUACACUGGCAGCCUAUCACAUGUUGUUUCACAGCUGUAUUAUAUUUAUUGUGCUAAUAAAUAUACUUUGUACAACAUGAUGUGUACAUGAAGUUACAUUUUUGUAAAGCUGCAUGUUAAGGCUAUGGUUACUACUAAGGUUAUUUGUUACUAUGUAGAUUAAAUUUAGCAGUGUAACAAUUUAAUUGUCAUACAAGUAUGCAUGUUAAUCAAAGCUAUGUACUUAACCGAUUGUGCAUUGAAUUGCAUUUUUGGAAUGACUGAACAACUCUUAAUCGAGAAGGCCUACAUGUAUAAUUGGCACAUAUAUUUUAUAUAUAUGUAUAUAUUCUUUAAAUAUAUAUAUUUUGAAUACAUUGAAAAAUCUGUAUGCACAGAUAAUUUUUUUUAAUUAAAAAAACAAAAAUUACCCUAGCUUUACAUCGCAGAGCGAAGAACAAAAAAAACAAAAACCCAAACAAGCAAAACAAAAACAAAAACAACCCACACUUGGUCAAACACAUAUUCCUGUGCAUAAACUAUGUAGAGACAAGUUGAGCUUCAGAUUUAAUUUGACAGUCUUGAGC